rnacentral:lncRNA from 1 species
AUUGAGGACAUUAAUUCUUAUUUUUUUUAAUUCUUUAUUCUGCAAAGAAGGGUGACCUUCAUCAUCACUAAACAACACUGCAAAACUAUGUCAGCACCCAGAGCCAAGAUCUGGAAUUCCUGCAAUUCUCAGGAAGGGCGUUUUGUUAUUGCUGCAGGAGACAACUGAGGCAGGGCAGGCGAGACUGCGGUGGCUGAGAAAGGCAUCCACGGCAUUGCAUAACUCUGGACAGUGAUGUAUCUCCUGGUCAGCAGUGCAGUUUCCCCAGACCAGAAAAAUGCUACUGCCAGUGGUCCUUAGUGGACGCCCAUGUCCAACCCAGCUCUCCCCUAAUGACAAAUAUAAACUGUGAGCUUCCUGUGGCCAAAAACAAA